GACGAACGCUGGCGGCGUGCUUAACACAUGCAAGUCGAACGGAAAGGCCCUGCUUUUGUGGGGUGCUCGAGUGGCGAACGGGUGAGUAACACGUGAGUAACCUGCCCUUGACUUUGGGAUAACUUCAGGAAACUGGGGCUAAUACCGGAUAGGAGCUCCUGCUGCAUGGUGGGGGUUGGAAAGUUUCGGCGGUUGGGGAUGGACUCGCGGCUUAUCAGCUUGUUGGUGGGGUAGUGGCUUACCAAGGCUUUGACGGGUAGCCGGCCUGAGAGGGUGACCGGCCACAUUGGGACUGAGAUACGGCCCAGACUCCUACGGGAGGCAGCAGUGGGGAAUAUUGCACAAUGGGCGGAAGCCUGAUGCAGCAACGCCGCGUGCGGGAUGACGGCCUUCGGGUUGUAAACCGCUUUCGCCUGUGACGAAGCGUGAGUGACGGUAAUGGGUAAAGAAGCACCGGCUAACUACGUGCCAGCAGCCGCGGUGAUACGUAGGGUGCGAGCGUUGUCCGGAUUUAUUGGGCGUAAAGGGCUCGUAGGUGGUUGAUCGCGUCGGAAGUGUAAUCUUGGGGCUUAACCCUGAGCGUGCUUUCGAUACGGGUUGACUUGAGGAAGGUAGGGGAGAAUGGAAUUCCUGGUGGAGCGGUGGAAUGCGCAGAUAUCAGGAGGAACACCAGUGGCGAAGGCGGUUCUCUGGGCCUUUCCUGACGCUGAGGAGCGAAAGCGUGGGGAGCGAACAGGCUUAGAUACCCUGGUAGUCCACGCUGUAAACGGUGGGUACUAGGUGUGGGGUCCAUUCCACGGGUUCCGUGCCGUAGCUAACGCUUUAAGUACCCCGCCUGGGGAGUACGGCCGCAAGGCUAAAACUCAAAGGAAUUGACGGGGCCCCGCACAAGCGGCGGAGCAUGCGGAUUAAUUCGAUGCAACGCGUAGAACCUUACCUGGGUUUGACAUGGAUCGGGAGCGCUCAGAGAUGGGUGUGCCUCUUUUGGGGUCGGUUCACAGGUGGUGCAUGGCUGUCGUCAGCUCGUGUCGUGAGAUGUUGGGUUAAGUCCCGCAACGAGCGCAACCCUUGUUCACUGUUGCCAGCACGUUAUGGUGGGGACUCAGUGGAGACCGCCGGGGUCAACUCGGAGGAAGGUGGGGAUGACGUCAAGUCAUCAUGCCCCUUAUGUCCAGGGCUUCACGCAUGCUACAAUGGCUGGUACAGAGAGUGGCGAGCCUGCGAGGGUGAGCGAAUCUCGGAAAGCCGGUCUCAGUUCGGAUUGGGGUCUGCAACUCGACCUCAUGAAGUCGGAGUCGCUAGUAAUCGCAGAUCAGCAACGCUGCGGUGAAGACGUUCCCGGG
rnacentral:rRNA from 1 species